UUUUAAGUAUUUGGAUCAUUUAGACUUUAUUUAAAUACUCGUUUUUUAAAAUAUAUGUAAUCCGAUUUAUUAGAAUAUAUAUAAAUCUGUUCAAUUUAAAAAGUAUUAGAUUUAAUCAGUUAAAAUGUAUGAAUAUGAAUUAAAUAAAUCUAGCCGUGACACAAACCGGAUAAAUUCUAUCAGAUUGGUUUACAUACAAAUUUCAGGAAACUGACUUUAGUAGAAGCGGAAAUGACGUCUAUUCACACUCCAGUCAGGAGGUGGCGCCACAAUCAAAAAUAGACGCUACAGCACAUGGACUUCGCCAUUUUGCAUUGGACUGGAUCGUCAUCUCACUAGUCUACAAUCGCCAAAUUGUAGAGUAAAAUACACCUCACUACACAGACGGUCUGUUGGAAAUAUACAGCAUCAUUUCAUCGUCUAUAUGGUGGGACAACCUGCUAGACAGGUUGAAGACAUCUGUACCUACCUCACAGAAGGCACGGAGAGACACAUUAAAGAAUAUGUGAAUUGUGAAAUUGGUGAGUUGGGGAUUGCACAGACAGUGGAAGUUUUGCAAAACCUACUUGGUGUCACACAUGGGUGUGAAAUUACUUUUUGGACUCAUUUAUGCACUUAAACUGAACUACCAGAAGAACAUCAGGUGCACCUUUGACCUUUCAAAAAAUCCUAAUGGAACUGGACUUGAUACAACCAAGCAAUCACUGAAAGAUGCUUCAGUGAAUACCUGACAGACACGCUGAUGCAUCCCCCUCAAAGUGGGUACAUUUUUGUACAUUUACAAGUGAACUUUUUAACAUUAAAGUAAUAUUGCACUUUCAUUAAACAAAAAUCCUGAUAAUUUACUGUCUGUCAUCAAAAAUGCUUGUCUUUUUUUGUUCAGUCAAGAAGAAAUUGUUUUUUGAGAAAAACAUUCCAGGAUUUUUCUUAAUUUAAUAGACCUUAUUGGACA